UUGUCAUCCAGGUGAAUCACCCCUUUUGCCUUUGUGUUAUUUUUUAUAGGGUGUUACCUCUUAACAGUCCAAACGUCGGGCUGGCUUUAAGUACAGAGGUGAUGGACUAAUGUCCCAACUGCCUCACGUGGACCACGCAGGUGACCCCGAGGACUGCGGGCUGGGACAAGGCAGUCACUCUCACCAAGAUGCCACCUGGGACUCUGACCUUCGUCUAGAGGCUGCCCACGUUUCUUGGCUUGUGGCCACAGAUCACUACAACCUCCGCUUCCUUCAUCACAUUGCCACCUCUGACUCUGGCCCUCCUGUUUCCCUCUUACAAGGUGCCUUGCGAUUGCAUUGGGCCCAGCUGCAUCAUCCGGGAUCCUCUCCCCAUCUCAAGAGCCUUACUUCAAUCACAUCUUUUUUCUGCGGAAGCUGACAUCUUUACAGAUUUCAUCCUUGCCCAGACAUUAAUACAGAAGCUGGAACGAAACAAUUUCUGCAGUCCAGACGCAAGAGCAAAGAAAAAAGAAUUUGGUAUACACAAUUUCCUACGUGGAACACAUAGUAUGUUUUCAAUAUCUUUUGGAAGUACUAUGUUAUUUCUCUGCAUAGUUAUUUAAGAGAGGCAAACUGCAAAUGGCAUUCCUUGUAUGUGUUUAGAGGUGUUAAUGUAGCAACAGCGAAUACAUCUAUCCAUAAGAUACAGUGAACUCACU